GCUCACUGCUCUAGAAUAUUAGUUUUCCAUUUUAUUCUAGCACACUCGUGUAAAGGAAUGGCAAUGAGAUGUGGAAUAUGUGAGGUUUUGUGGCCCAUGCCUAGCUGAUACAUGUACUAUUUGCUCGUAACUUGCUCAUAACAGUAUCCCUGUUAAAAAAAAAUACUCCCUCCAAUCCAUAAUAAGUAUCGGGAAUGAUCGGAGGGAGUACCAGAUAUACAAAUGCAUGACAUUUUACUGCAAACAUUUAAGGGAUAUGCAUUCAACAUUUAGAAAUGAAAAUACAUAAAUAAAACAUUAGAAAAAUACUUCGUCUGUUAGCUCACCCAUCACGUUAGGAGGACAGUCAAAUUAACAUGUUUUUUUUUUACCAAAAACAUGUUUAUUCUGGCAUAACUUCAACUUUCAAAACAGAACCAUCAUUAUAUUAAAAAAAAACUAUUCAGCACAUAACCAAACAAAAUUGUAGGCAGAUUUUCAAUAGCAAAAGUCACGAACCAUGAAACCCUGUCUUGGCAAAUAUUUUAUCAAUCUUUUGAAAAGAAAAAGAUAUAAGAAAUUCUCCCUAACUACAAGAAAAAUCAACGCAAGAAAAAAAACCACACCCAAGCACAAAAUGGAAAUCGAAUUAUACCAUAUGAAUCUUGUGAGGUUUCGGAUGAGCACAUCAACAUCGCUAGAGUUUGCCGGCAGCUUUUGGCUUCAGGGUGCGUUUUUUUUUGGCUUCUAUGACCGGCUUCUUCUAAAAGUUGCCCUCACCUAGCUUCCUAAAAAAGCCGCAUC
rnacentral:lncRNA from 1 species